rnacentral:rRNA from 1 species
AACGAACGCUGGCGGCAGGCCUAACACAUGCAAGUCGAGCGCCCCGCCAGGGGAGCGGCGGACGGGUGGGUAACGCGUGGGGAUAUGCACUUGUCUACGGAAUAGUCUCGGGAAACUGGGGGUAAUACCGUACACGCCCUAAGGCGGAAAGGUUUAUCGGGGAGGGUUUAGCCGGCGUUGGAUUAGGUGGUUGGGGGGGUAAUGGCCUACCAAGCCGACGAUCCAUAGCUGGGUUGAGAGGAUGAUCAGCCACACUGGGACUGAGACACGGCCCAGACUCCUACGGGAGGCAGCGGUGGGGAAUCUUAGACAAUGGGGGCAACCCUGAUCUAGCCAUGCCGCGUGAGUGAUGAAGGCCUUAGGGUUGUAAAGCUCUUUCAGCUGGGAAGAUAAUGACGGUACCAGCAGAAGAAGCCCCGGCUAACUCCGUG